GGCGAGAUGGCCGAGUGGUCUAUGGCGACGGUCUCAAGUAUGGUAUACGUACUUACGCCCCAUUAGGAGUGUUCCGUUCACGAAAGUGGCCGGGGUUCGAAUCCCCGUCUCGUCA
rnacentral:tRNA from 1 species